GACGAACGCUGGCGGCGUGCUUAACACAUGCAAGUCGAACGGAAAUGCCCUGCUGUUGUGGGGUGCUCGAGUGGCGAACGGGUGAGUAACACGUGAGUAUCCUGCCCUUGACUUUGGGAUAACUUCUGGAAACUGGGGCUAAUACCGGAUAGGAGCUCCUGCUGCAUGGUGGGGGUUGGAAAGUUUCGGCGGUUGGGGAUGGACUCGCGGCUUAUCAGCUUGUUGGCGGGGUAGUGGCUUACCACGGCUUUGACGGGUAGCCGGCCUGAGCGGGUGAACGGCCACAUUGGGACUGAGAUACGGCCCAGACUAAUACGGGAGGCAGCAGUGGGGAAUAUUGCACAAUGGGCGGAAGCCUGAUGCAGCAAGGCCGCGUGCGGGAUGACGGCCUUCGGGUUGUAAACCGAUUUCGCCUGUAACGAAGCGUGAGUGACGGUAAUGGGUAAAGAAGCACCGGCUAACUACGUG
rnacentral:rRNA from 1 species